UACAGAGGUCUCAAGCGUUGUUCGGAUUCAUUGGGCGUAAAGGGUGUGUAGGUGGCGCCGUAAGUCGGGUGUGAAAUCUCGGGGCUUAACUCCGAAACUGCAUUCGAUACUGCGGUGCUUGAGGACUGGAGAGGAGACUGGAAUUCAUGGUGUAGCAGUGAAAUGCGUAGAGAUCAUGAGGAAGACCAGUGGCGAAGGCGGGUCUCUGGACAGUUCCUGACGCUGAGGCGCGAAGGCUAGGGGAGCAAACGGG
rnacentral:rRNA from 1 species